UACAGAGGGUGCAAGCGUUAAUCGGAAUUACUGGGCGUAAAGGGUGUGUAGGCGGUUCUUUAAGUUUGGUGUGAAAUCUCCCGGCUCAACCGGGAGGGUGCGCCGAAUACUGAGGGACUAGAGUGUGGGAGAGGAAAGUGGAAUUCCUGGUGUAGCGGUGAAAUGCGUAGAUAUCAGGAGGAACACCGGUGGUGUAGACGGCUUUCUGGACCAUAACUGACGCUGAGACACGAAAGCGUGGGUAGCAAACAGG
rnacentral:rRNA from 1 species